rnacentral:rRNA from 1 species
UCAAGCUACUAAGGGCAUACGGUGGAUGCCUAGGCGCCAAGAGCCGAAGAAGGACGCGAUAAGCUGCGAAAAGCCAUGGUAAGUCGCAAGUAGACAUAGACCCAUGGAUGUCCGAAUGGGGCAACCCAGCAGUGGUAAUGCACUGUUACCUAUAGCUUUGACUAUAGGAGGUAGACCCGGGGAACUGAAACAUCUAAGUACCCGGAGGAAGAGUAAUCAAACGAGAUUCCCUAAGUAGCGGCGAGCGAACCGGGAAGAGCCCAAACCAGAUAACUUCGGUUAUGUGGGGUUGCGGACUAACAUAAUUCAGAAAAUAUCUAGCUGAAUCAUCUGGAAAGAUGAAUCAUAGAAGGUAAUAAUCCUGUAAGCGAAAGACAGAGCAAGAGGGCUAGAAUCCAGAGUACCACGAGACACGAGAAACCUUGUGGGAAGCAGGGGGGACCACCCUCCAAGGCAAAAUACUACUUGGCGACCGAUAGCGUAUAGUACCGUGAGGGAAAGGUGAAAAGCACCCCGGGAGGGGAGUGAAAGAGAACCUGAAACCGUAUGUCUACAAGCAGUCGAAGCACUUUAUAUGUGCGACGGCGUGCCUAUUGAAGAAUGAACCGGCGAGUUACGAUAUCUAGCGAGGUUAAGUGGAAGACACGGAGCCGAAGCGAAAGCGAGUCUUAAUAGGGCGAAUAGUUAGAUGUUGUAGACCCGAAACCGCAGUGAUCUAUCCAUGGCCAGGUUGAAGCGCAGGUAAAAUUGCGUGGAGGACCGAACCCGUGAACGUUGAAAAGUUUUGGGAUGAGUUGUGGAUAGGGGUGAAAUGCCAAUCGAACGCGGAGAUAGCUGGUUCUCCCCGAAAUAGCUUUAGGGCUAGCCUCAAGUGUUCAGUAUAGACGGUAGAGCUCUGAUCGGGCUAGGGGGCGUAAAGCUUACCGAACCUAGUUAAACUACGAAUGGCUAUACUAUAGAACUUGGGAGUCAGACUGCGAGUGAUAAGACCCGUAGUCAAGAGGGAAACAGCCCAGAACGCCGACUAAGGUCCCAAAUGCUGUGCUAAGUGGAAAAGGAUGUAAAACUUCACAAACAACCAGGAUGUUGGCUUAGAAGCAGCCACCAUUCAAAGAGUGCGUAAUAGCUCACUGGUCGAGAGGUUUUGCGCCGAAAAUGUCCGGGGCUAAAGCACAGAACCGAAGUCGCGUCAGAUUGAAAAAUAUCUGGGUAGGGGAGCGUUCUUAUCGGGCAGAAGCAAUACCGUAAGGAGUUGUGGACUGAUAAGAAGUGAGAAUGCCGGUAUGAGUAGCGAAAAGAACAGUGAGAAUCUGUUCCACCGAAAGCCUAAGGGUUCCUGAGCAACGAUCGUCGACUCAGGGUAAGUCGGGACCUAAGCCGAGGCGUAGAGCGUAGGCGAUGGACAACUGGUAAAUAUUCCAGUACCACCAAUAAUCAUUUGAGUGAUGGAGUGACACAGAAGGAAGGUUAAGCGCGAGGAUGGAAAUUCGCGUCUAAGCUGGUAGGGUGUGAUGUAGGCAAAUCCGCAUCAUGAAAGCCUGAGAAGUGAUGGGUAUAGUUACCUUGGUAACUAGAAAUUAACUGGACCACGCUGUCAAGAAAAGCUUCUAGCGAGAUUAAAGGUGCCCGUACCGUAAACCGACACAGGUAGGCGGGGAGAGAAUCCUAAGGUGCGCGGGAAAACCCUCGUUAAGGAACUCGGCAAAAUGUAUCCGUAACUUCGGGAAAAGGAUAACCUAAGCUGGUGAAGUCAUUAACUGACGGAGCUGGAGUAGGUCACAGAAGAGAGGCCCAAGCGACUGUUUACCACAAACACAGGUGCCUGCUAAAGAGAAAUCUGACGUAUAGGUGCUGACACCUGCCCGGUGCUGGAAGGUUAAGAGGAGUGCUUAGAGCAAUCGAAGGUAUGAAUUGAAGCCCCAGUAAACGGCGGCCGUAACUAUAACGGUCCUAAGGUAGCGAAAUUCCUUGUC